UACGUAGGUGGCAAGCGUUGUCCGGAUUUAUUGGGCGUAAAGGUUGCGUAGGCGGCCCUUUAAGUCGGAUGUGAAAUCCCCGAGCUUAACUUGGGGGCUGCAUUUGAAACUGGGUGUCUAGAGUGCAGGAGAGGUAAGUGGAAUUCCUAGUGUAGCGGUGAAAUGCGUAGAGAUUAGGAAGAACACCAGUGGCGAAGGCGACUUACUGGACUGUAACUGACACUGAUAAACGAAAGCCAGGGGAGCAAACAGG
rnacentral:rRNA from 1 species